UAAGGAAUAUUGGUCAAUGGACGCAAGUCUGAACCAGCCAUGCCGCGUGAAGGAUGAAGGUCCUCUGGAUUGUAAACUUCUUUUAUCUGGGACGAAAACGGGAUUUUUAUCUCAAUUGACGGUACCAGAGGAAUAAGCACCGGCUAACUCCGUGCCAGCAGCCGCGGUAAUACGGAGGGUGCGAGCGUUAUCCGGAUUUACUGGGUUUAAAGGGUGCGUAGGUGGGCUUAUAAGUCAGUGGUGAAAUCUCCGAGCUUAACUUGGAAACUGCCGUUGUUACUAUAGGUCUUGAAUUAUCUGGAGGUAAGCGGAAGAUGUCAUGUAGCGGUGAAAUGCUUAGAUGUGACAUAGAACACCAAUUGCGAAGGCAGCUUACUACAUAUAAAUUGACGCUGAGGCACGAGAGCGUGGGGA
rnacentral:rRNA from 1 species